AGCAGCCGCGGUAAUUCCAGCUCCAAUAGCGUAUAUUAAAGUUGUUGCAGUUAAAAAGCUCGUAGUUGAAUCUCGGGAUUGACACAUCGGUCGUGCCUUAAGGGGUAUGAACUGGUGUAGUCAAUUUCUCACCUUCUGGAGAACCGCGAUGCCCUUAAUUGGGUGUCACGGGGAACCAGGACCUUUACUUUGAAAAGAUUAGAGUGUUUAAAGCAGGCAUUUUGCUUGAAUACAUUAGCAUGGAAUAAUAAAAUAGGACGGCAUGAUUCUAUUUUGUUGGUUUCUAGGAUCACCGUAAUGAUUAAUAGGGAUAGUUGGGGGCAUUAGUAUUCAAUUGUCAGAGGUGAAAUUCUUGGAUUUAUUGAAGACUAACUACUGCGAAAGCAUUUGCCAAGGAUGUUUUCAUUAAUCAAGAACGAAAGUUAGGGGAUCGAAGACGAUCAGAUACCGUCGUGGUCUUAACCAUAAACUAUGCCGACUAGGAAUCAGACGAUGUUAAUUUUUUAAUGACUCG
rnacentral:rRNA from 1 species